AGCAGCCAUUUUUUUCAGGGCUGAUAGGAUAUCAUUAAGAGUAUCUUAUGAGACAUUAGUGGAUAUACUCAUAAUACAGUAACCAUAUUUAUAGUUUUAAAGAGCUAGCUCUUGAGCAUUAGUCACUCAGUACCUUCAGCUUGAUGCAUGGUCACUUCUUUACUAUUUAAACUAUUACACAUGGUACAAAAUAUCAAAGACACUACCAUAUUCUAAAGGAAGAAAUCUAGCUGGGAUGUAGGCUUUUUUUGUUUUUGCUUUUGUUUUUGUUUUUGUUUUUUUGUUUGUUUUGCUGUUUAGCAAUAACAUGGUCAAAAAAGGCAAUCAGAAGUUUUAAAUGCAGUUAAUGGAUACAUUUGUCAAGAAUUUCCCCCCCAGGGUUUUCCAUGGUGUACUUUGCAAGAAAUAAGCAUUCUAAUUUUUAAAUCUCUUUAGCAAAUAUUGUAUUUUAUGACAGUGGAGUUCUGGAAAGCAGCAUCUGUUUUUCGUUGCGUGUUUCCAUUUUAAAGUGAGUUCUCAAAUUGGAAAGAAAAAUUCCUUGAGACUUACUUUAAAAUCUAAAGUGUGAAAGAAACAGCAGAGUGAAAGCCAGACUCAUUGCACCUUUGAUGUCUGCAUAGAUCCAGAAGUUGGACAUUUUACCUAACAACAUCACUUUUGUUAAACAUUCCAACUCCAAAACGAUCCCCAGUCACUUUAAUCUCAGAAUGUUGGAAUGAUGUCUGUUGGAAAACCCAGGACUCCACAUACAAAACUGCUAAGAUUUUGUUUCCCAUCUCUUUCUAGGUGUUUGCAAUGUACAAAUAAUACAGCUGUGCUAAUCUCACAUUUAGCCAUGAUAGAUGAUGGUUCUAGAGUAUACUUCCAUUUGUAAGUCCUCCUGAUAAUCUUAAGCGCUUUCUUGUUUAUCACUAUGUACAUCUGAAAUAUUUUGUACUUCAUUUGUUUUUAUCCAUUCUGAAUUUUCAAAGCAUAAAAAUGUGAAAGAAAAAUUGAGAUAAACAUUUUGUUCACUAUUAUUUGCAUCUGCAAUCUAUAAUGAGAAUGAUAUUAAAUUACGACUAAAAUUUAACAAAUAGUAUUUUCUUAUAGAAGCAAUGUAUUAAAUGAUUAGAACACAGGACAGUUCACAGCAAAUUGUUUACUUACGUGGCAUAAUUGAAAUACUAUUAUUUGGAAAGAGUUCUAUAUUGCUUACCUUAGCAAACCAGAAUUGUUCAUAGACUUGUGAUAAUAUGGUGUUAUGGGAAAACAUUUCGUGCGCAUGAUGAAGAGAGCACCGUUAAUCUAGUCUUGACUGCCCCUGGUGGAACAUUUGAAAGCCCCUGGGACCCCAGGAGAGAGGUUUUUGCAGCAUGUAUGCCUGGAACACACUUGUGAGUUAGCAAGACCCUGCUGUGAUUACGCUGUUGUACAGGUCUUCAAAGUAUAUUGCCUAAUAUAAGUCAUGUUAUUUCUAGAUUGGAUUUUAAGUAAGUAUGGAUUAUGGAAGUCUAGUAAAUAUACUUUUCUCUA
rnacentral:lncRNA from 1 species